ACAUUUAUAUGAUGGGACGAACAUCAGAGCCCGCAGCUCUCGGCCCUGCUGGUGGCAGAGGCUUUGUACUGUGUGACAAUGACCUGGAUAUGGAAGCAGAAGGGAGCUUCUAAGGACCGGAAGCUGAGAGUCUGUCUCCUGUCCCGGCCCGGACACUGGGGUUCAGGCUGUGGAAAAAUCAGUUGACACGAGUUAGAUGUGCGACAUGGACUGCUACUGUGCACGCAGAGACGGAGGAGCUCAGAGGAACAGUGCGUUUAUUCUGCAUAAGCAGAGGUCACAGCAGCCGCCUAUGUGGCCUCUUUUAUAACAGCCCUGAAGAGGCCAGGCAUGCUGGCUCGGGCCUGUAAUCCCAGCACUUUGGGAGGCCGAGGUGGGCAGAUCAUCUGAGGUGAGGAGUUCGAGACAAGCCUGGCCAACAUGGUGAAACCCCAUCCCUACUAAAAAUACAAAAAUUAGCUGGGCGUGGUGGCAGACACCUGUAGUUCCAGCUACUCAGGAGGCUGAGGCAGGAGAAUCACUUGAACCUGGGAGGCAGAGGUUGCAGUGAGCCAAGAUCACGCCACUGCACUCCAGCCUGGGGGACAGAGUGAGACUCUGUCUCAAACAAACAAACAAACAACAACAAAAAAAACCAGCCCUGAAGAAAGAAGACUUGGGGUUUACAGAGCAGAGGACUUUCAACGCAAGGAUGCCCUGUGUCAGUGUGCAGAGGCUCAGAAGCACUGCUCUUUUGAAGAAAAGUGUGCUGGACCUUCUCUUGCGUGGUUAGUUGUAAAACUUGAUGCUUCUGCAGGCAGAUGAUGGCAGAAAGCUCCCACCCCACCACGCUGAUGACGGCAGAAAGCUCCCGCCCCACCACGCUGAUGACGGCAGAAAGCUCCCGCCCCACCACGCUGAUGAUGGCACUCUCGUUGGGUGGUUGUGUGGUCUUCAUACAAUUUCAGGGUAAAUCGCCACUUGAUGUCAUUGCUAAAUGGGAUACCUGAGCUAUGAUGAUUUUGCCUGAUUGUUAAAGUUAGUAUUUUAAGACCAAAGAUGGACAAAAUACGUUAAAAUUGUCUGUAAAAAGGCACAUUUCUGAAUUUGCUUUUAAUACUUUAAAAGAUAUAAAGCUGUUGUAUUAUAACAGGAAGGAUUGCUACAAGAACAGAUCUGUCAGAAAACAAAACCGCA
ensembl:lncRNA LINC01865 long intergenic non-protein coding RNA 1865